UACGUAGGGGGGCUAGCGUUGUCCGGAAUCAUUGGGCGUAAAGAGCGUGUAGGCGGCCCGGUAAGUCCGCUGUGAAAGUCGGGGGCUCAACCCUCGAAUGCCGGUGGAUACUGUCGGGCUAGAGUGCGGAAGAGGCGAGUGGAAUUCCUGGUGUAGCGGUGAAAUGCGCAGAUAUCGGGAGGAACACCUAUGGCGAAGGCAGCUCGCUGGGACGUUACUGACGCUGGAGACGCGAAAGCGUGGGGAGCAAACAGG
rnacentral:rRNA from 1 species